CCCUUAGAUGUUCUGGGCCGCACGCGCGCUACACUGAAGGGAUCAGCGUGUUUUCCCUUUCCGAGAGGAACGGGUAACCCGCUGAACCCCCUUCGUGGUAGGGAUCGGAGCUUGCAAUUGUUCUCCGUGAACCAGGAAUUCCCAGUAAGCGCAAGUCAUAAGCUUGCGUUGAUUACGUCCCUGCCCUUUGUACGCACCGCCCGUCGCACCUACCGAUUGAAUGGUCCGGUGAAGACUCGAGAUUGUGGUCUAGCUCCUUCAUUGGGGCUUGACCGCGAGAACCUGUCUAAACCUUAUCAUUUAGAGGAAGGUGAAGUCGUAACA
rnacentral:rRNA from 1 species